AUUGAACGCUGGCGGCAGGCCUAACACAUGCAAGUCGAACGAGUGGCGGACGGGUGAGUAAUGUCUGGGGAACUGCCUGAUGGAGGGGGAUAACUACUGGAAACGGUGGCUAAUACCGCAUACCAUCGGAUGUACCCAUAUGGGAUUAGCUAGUAGGUGGGGUAAAGGCUCACCUAGGCGACGAUCCCUAGCUGGUCUGAGAGGAUGACCAGCCAAACUGGAACUGAGACACGGUCCAGACUCCGACGGGAGGCAGCAGUGGGGAAUAUUGCACAAUGGGCGCAAGCCUGAUGCAGCCAUGCCGCGUGUAUGAAGAAGGCCUUCGGGUUGUAAAGUACUUUCAGCGGGGAGGCGUUACCCGCAGAAGAAGCACCGGCUAACUCCGUGCCAGCAGCCGCGGUAAUUC
rnacentral:rRNA from 1 species